AUCAACUUUCGAUGGUAGGAUAGAGGCCUACCAUGGUGGUAACGGGUAACGGGGUGUUAGGGCACGACACCGGAGAGGGAGCCUGAGAAACGGCUACCACAUCCAAGGAUGGCAGCAGGCGCGCAAAUUACCCAAUCCCGACACGGGGAGGUAGUGACAAUAAAUAACAAUACGGGGUUCUUUCGGAUUUCGUAAUUGGAAUGAGUACAAUUUAAAUCUCUUAACGAGGAACAAUUGGAGGGCAAGUCUGGUGCCAGCAGCCGCGGUAAUUCCAGCUCCAAUAGCGUAUAUUAAAGUUGUUGCAGUUAAGAAGCUCGUAGUUGAAUUUCGGGGUCAGUAGAUUGGUCGUGCCACUGGUAUGUACUGGUCUUACUGGCUCCUCCUUCCUGAUGAACCGUAAUGCCAUUAAUUUGGUGUUGCGGGGAGACUGGACUGUUACUUUGAAAAAAUUAGAGUGUUUAAAGCAGGCUAACGCUUGAAUACAUUAGCAUGGAAUAAUGAAAUAGGACGUUCGAUCUUAUUUUGUUGGUUUCUAAGAUUGACGUAAUGAUUAAUAGGGAUAGUUGGGGGCAUUAGUAUUCAAUUGUCAGAGGUAAAAUUCUUGGAUUUAUUGAAGACUAACUACUGCGAAAGCAUUUGCCAAGGAUGUUUUCAUUAAUCAAGAACGAAAGUUAGGGGAUCGAAGACGAUCAGAUACCGUCGUAGUCUUAACCAUAAACUAUGCCGACUAGGGAUCGGAUGAUGUUAAUUUUUUAAUGACUCAUUCGGCGCCUUACGGGAAACCAAAGUGUUUGGGUUC
rnacentral:rRNA from 1 species